ensembl:lncRNA
UAGAAAGGUGCGCGCGAAGAUGUCGAGAGAAAAAGGCAGUCACAUCCACAGACGGCGAGCUUGCAGAACGCGGCAGAAGGCCGCGCGGAGGUUGAGGCUGCAGUCAGAAAUAGGCAGCGACUUCUCAGAAGAGGCUCCCGGUAGUCGCAGUAUGACUGGAGAGCCGAGGCAACUCACCGGCUGCGCCUCUUGCUCACGUCGCAUCCAGUGACGCGCGAGGCCGUUCCCGCAAGCGGAAUCAGUUUGAGAGAAGUCUGUUAGGUGCACCUGCGAUAGUGCCUCUGAAUGCUUGUGGUUGGUUUUGUUUGAGUCGCGGCCAACUGACAAAUGUCAAGUCGAGCCACUUUUUGUUGUUGGGCGAUUACAAAAAUCACCGUGAGCACGGUUCUCUUUGCAUGACACAAAUAUCUGAAGUCCGGCUUCCUUCUAGGUCCCAAUCUGCGUUUGCCUCUUUUCAUUAUUAACGUUUGACCCUCGCAUAUCUGUGUUGAGAUUCCGCUCCCAGAGGUGCAUGUGGGGAGCCGAAUGCCCCAAAAAAAAAGCUUUCAGUGAUUGUGGUCGACUGCGAAGCGAAGCGACUGCCGGGUUUGGCUUUGACUCACCACGACGGGGAAACUGACGAAAUCUUCGCUCCACAUUUGGUGGGGUCCUCUCUCUACCUGCGUGGCUUCAGAGAAAUGCAACGGUUGGCUAUUCAUGAGCUAAUCAAUGGGCUCUUGUCCUCUUAGAUCGGGCUAACCUAAUCAAACUUUACCCGCCCUGAGUUCACCACAGGCCACUGACGCGCGGGAGGAGGCGUGUUUGCAUCUGUGCAGAAGGCCGCUGUGUGGGAGGCUUUCAUUACCAGAACCACGGCUGCACAAAGAGGGGGGGGGGGGGCACGAGAAAAGGCCAAAAGAGGCGUUUCCAGUCACGCGAGUCUAAAAAAAAAAAAAAAAAAAGAUCAACCCGAGCAGUUCUCGCUUUCAUUUCGCAAAAUACACGCGUAGCACGUCCGCCAAUAGCGACGGUGAAGUGAAUCUGUUGUCCCCCCCACAUAGUUGCGCUCCAUCUUCUCGCCGCUACGUUCCUGUAUAUAAUGAAGUUGAAAUAAUAUACAAGAUGAAAUAUACUGAACAGUAAUGAACAUGGAGACGACCGGAUGUAUUCAUUUUGUUUUUUAUUUAUUUAUUACCUAAAAAAGAAAAAUGUUCUAUCACAAGUCACACUGAAAUGUAUUGCUUAAGAAAAAAAUAUAUUCAUACAUUUUUUCAUUUUUGUGUCAAUUUUCUCAUUUUUUUUUUAUUUGUUUUCCUCCUUUUUAUCGGAAACAUGUUUUUGUUCCGGUUAUAUUCCAC